UUCAAAGAAGACAAAAGGACUCCAGUUUGAUCAGGUGUGGCUGAAACUCAACUGCGCAGAGCUCCGUCUCUUCAGGAACUGAGUCGCCUGUGGCCUAGAUUAUAAAUUUGCUUUCACUUUCUUAUUCUUUCAACCUCAACCCCUUCCUUGGUUAAGUGUAUAGCGUUAAGGUGAUCAACCUUUGUUCAGUAAGAUUUCUUGGAACAACUGUAGGCUACUCAAGAUAUAAGCGAACGUUUUUUAUCCCUUCACUUCAGAAUAUAAUGUUGAGUAGAAUUUUUUAUACAAUCGUAACACCUAAAAAUGUGGAACAAACAGCUCAAGAAUUCAAGAAAAAUCUAAAGAAGAAGAUAAAAAAUGUUAGAUUAAAAAACCCUGAGGAGGGACAUCGCAAAAAGACAAGAGAAACGCCCAGUGAUGUUUACCUGGCUUUCUGUCCAGUAGUUUCUGACACUAAAACUAACAUUGAUGCAACACUCAAGAAUAUUAAAGACGAUAAGCCGACCAUUUUAGUGGUGCUUCAUCAAACACUUGAGAAGGAGGCUGUUGUGUCAAAAAGCAGUACAUUUGUGGAAAGGGAGAAUAUGCUUGUUCUUGACUGUCUGUUCUACGAGGGUAAAGGCUUGCUUGCCUGUAAAAAAAAUGAGGAGGCUUAUAAAGAAGCUGCAAACCGUUCUUCAAAGAAAAACCAAAAAGUAGCUGAUGACAAUUCAAGCCGCAAGCAGGACACAUCCUCCCCAGAUGUCCGGUCUAGUAGAAAUGAUCAUAAUAGAGAUGAACGCAAAAAACGUGAUGCCUCCAAGAAAAAAACGAAAACUUGUGUUUUUCUCUGAACAGUGGAAUUGAUCACAUCAGGCAAGCAACGCAAAAUGCGACAAACUUUAAAAUUUUAAAUUCUGCACAUCUUUAUUGGAAAACAACAUGGUGGAUAAAUUUUUUUAUUGUUUCAUAUGUUUUA
ensembl:processed_transcript